rnacentral:rRNA from 1 species
GACGAACGCUGGCGGCGUGCUUAACACAUGCAAGUCGAACGGAAAGGCCCCUUUGGGGGUACUCGAGUGGCGAACGGGUGAGUAACACGUGAGUAACCUGCCCUUGACUUCGGGAUAACUUCAGGAAACUGGGGCUAAUACCGGAUAGGAAUCCUUGCUGCAUGGUGGGGGUUGGAAAGCUUCGGCGGUUUUGGAUGGACUCGCGGCUUAUCAGCUUGUUGGUGGGGUAGUGGCUUACCAAGGCUUUGACGGGUAGCCGGCCUGAGAGGGCGACCGGCCACAUUGGGACUGAGAGACGGCCCAGACUCCGACGGGAGGCAGCAGUGGGGAAUAUUGCACAAUGGGCGGAAGCCUGAUGCAGCAACGCCGCGGGCGGGAGGACGGCCUUCGGGUUGUAAACCGCUUUCAGCAGGGGCGAAGCUUGUGGUGACGGUACCUGCAGAAGAAGCACCGGCUAACUACGUG